CUCUUCAAGUUCGUGGGUAAGGGCAGGUUUGUCUUGGUCGUGAGCCUCGCUGACAGUCCCGGGUCCCCUUUUCGCGGCAUGGCCUUUCCAGGGCACGGAAGAUGCCCGGAGGCCUCGCGUGCUGGCAAUGACUGAUCUGGUUCUUGCUGGAGGAUGGUUUCCCUAGUGCAUGUUCAUUUAUGAGCAUUCCCGGGCAAUGAAUCAUUGUGACUUGUGCUUUUUUUGUGUGUGUUUAAUUCAACUGGAAAGAGAGGAAUAGGUGUGGGGUGUGCUUCAGCCGUAGACUGAUCGCCUAGCAUGGGCUAGUCCCCGAGUCCUCCCAUCUCUCAAAAAGCACCGCCCCCCAAGCCAAUCACUUUUCUUCUGUCUUUCGUGAACUCUUCUACAUGGCCGGCCUGACAGUCCCUCCAAGGUACCGGUUCACUCAGUCAUCCCUUCAUACCACAGACAACUCUGGGAGGCUUGACAUUGAGUCCCGGGAAUGUGGCCAAGUCCUGCUCACAGGCCAUCUAGACAUAAACGGGAGUCCUCAGACGGGAGGGGGUGGCAAAUUGUGUCGCCUCGCAAGUUCCACGAUCCAUCCGACAGCUGGAGAGUGCGGCAAGGAUUCAAAAUGGGGGACAUUGUAAGAGUCAGGGUUGGAAGGAUAACUUGGAACCCUAAAGUCUCGAUUACUUAAAUUUCACUUCUAUUGGGAGUGGCGUUCCAAUGAAGGCUUUUCAGCAAAUCUUUGAGUGCCAGUUGUACGGAAAGAGUCUUGCCUUCUGGGAUACCGAUGUGGGUAGUCUCAGUAUGAACCUCGUCGUUGUGGACUUUCCCUGCUAUUUAAGGGUGGGAAGUGACAGGGAGGAGGUUACCCUGAUAGUCGUUUUGUAGAUUUUGUGGCAGAUAAGGGGACGAAUGUAAGUAUUUCAGGUUUUGCAAACAGGGAAAAGAAUAGAAAAAGAGAAAUGGGAUGGUUGUGCAUAGCAUUUAGCACUGACUGUUCAUGCCUGUUGUGGGAAGUGAAGACCCAAAGAUGGCAGGUUAAGAAAUACCUAGGCCAUCUGGAUCUAAUAGAUUAGGUCCAUUCGUGAGUUAAAGGACAUCCAAAUAGAGACAUCCUCCGAGCACUCAAAAGUGGAAUCAGGAGAGUGGUUAAGGUUAUACAGUAAAAUCUGAGAGACACCUUAAGCAAUAUAUUUUCCCAAGACACUGUAUUUAAAUAUGGAGUUGUGAGAAAUCUAGUCGUGAGUUAGUUUCCACACCAGAGACGUGAGGCCUAUGGCCAGUCAAAGCAAACGUGGGGAGAAUGUUAGCAGGUUUUUCAAAAACUCUGUGAGAAAGCCUGAAGUGAAGGUUAGGUGUUCUGGGUUCUUGAUGUGAUGUGCUAGGAAGUGGUAUGUCCUGGAGAGGGCACAAGAGCCCUCACUCCUCACCUCAUACUGUCUGUCCCUGUUCCUGGUUGUUAAGAGUCUACGCUGGGCGUUUCCAGGUUCGUGGUUGCUUAUCCAAAGAACUAAAGAGAAGGGCUCACACAGACUUACAGAAUAAGUGAGGAAACCUUAUUUUGUGGAGCAAUAAUAUAUAUUAAAAAGCGGAAUGAAGGGUUUUUGUUGUUGUUUUUGAGACGGGGUUGCUCUGUAGUUCUGGCUGUCCUGAACUCACUCUGUAGACCAGGCUGGCCUCGAACACAGAAAUCCACCUGCCUCUGCCUCCCAAGUGCUGGGAUUAAAGGCGUGCGCCACCAUUGCCCAGUUGGAAUGAAGGUUUGUUACUUGCAAUGUUAUAAUACAAUUUAAAAUAUAUUUAAUGUUGUGGAUCUGAGAGUGUGGCAGAGAAUGCAGUUUUGGGUUUUUUUUUUUCCUUUUUGUCUUAUACCUUGUUAUUUGAAAGCAGACUUAGUAUAUAAACAACUCAGUGUGUCCAUGCCUCAAUAAAGUUUUAUGGACAUUGAAUAUU
rnacentral:lncRNA from 1 species